UACGUAGGGUGCGAGCGUUGUCCGGAAUUAUUGGGCGUAAAGAGCUCGUAGGCGGUCUGUCGCGUCUGCUGUGAAAUCCCGAGGCUCAACCUCGGGCUUGCAGUGGGUACGGGCAGGCUAGAGUGCGGUAGGGGAGAAUGGAACUCCUGGUGUAGCGGUGGAAUGCGCAGAUAUCAGGAGGAACACCGGGUGGCGAAGGCGGGUCUCUGGGCAGUAACUGACGCUGAGGAGCGAAAGCAUGGGGAGCGAACAGG
rnacentral:rRNA from 1 species